GGUACUCGAGUGGCGAACGGGUGAGUAACACGUGGGUGAUCUGCCUUGCACUCUGGGAUAAGCUUGGGAAACUGGGUCUAAUACCGGAUAUGAACUGCCUUUAGUGUGGUGGUUGGAAAGUUUUUUCGGUGCAAGAUGAGCUCGCGGCCUAUCAGCUUGUUGGUGGGGUAAUGGCCUACCAAGGCGUCGACGGGUAGCCGGCCUGAGAGGGUGUACGGCCACAUUGGGACUGAGAUACGGCCCAGACUCCUACGGGAGGCAGCAGUGGGGAAUAUUGCACAAUGGGCGGAAGCCUGAUGCAGCGACGCCGCGUGGGGGAUGACGGCCUUCGGGUUGUAAACUCCUUUCGACAGGGACGAAGCUUUUUGUGACGGUACCUGUAUAAGAAGCACCGGCUAACUACGUGCCAGCAGCCGCGGUAAUACGUAGGGUGCGAGCGUUGUCCGGAAUUACUGGGCGUAAAGAGCUCGUAGGUGGUUUGUCGCGUCGUCUGUGAAAUUCCGGGGCUUAACUUCGGGCGUGCAGGCGAUACGGGCAUAACUUGAGUGCUGUA
rnacentral:rRNA from 2 species